CAGCCGCCGCGGUAAUACGAAGGGUGCGAGCGUUAAUCGGAAUUACUGGGCGUAAAGCGUGCGUAGGCGGUGAGUUAAGUCUGCUGUGAAAUCCCCGGGCUCAACCUGGGAAUGGCAGUGGAUACUGGCUCGCUAGAGUGUGUCAGAGGAUGGUGGAAUUCCCGGUGUAGCGGUGAAAUGCGUAGAGAUCGGGAGGAACAUCAGUGGCGAAAGCGGCUCACUGGACCAUUACUGACGCUGAGGUACGAAAGCUAGGGGAGCAAACAGGAUUAGAUACCCCCGUAGUCCCUGUCUCUUAUAC
rnacentral:rRNA from 1 species